rnacentral:rRNA from 1 species
GAGCUUGCUCCUUUGGCGUUAGCGGCGGACGGGUGAGUAACACGUGGGUAACCUACCUAUAAGACUGGGAUAACUUCGGGAAACCGGAGCUAAUACCGGAUAAUAUUUCGAACCGCAUGGUUCGAUAGUGAAAGAUGGUUUUGCUAUCACUUAUAGAUGGACCCGCGCCGUAUUAGCUAGUUGGUAAGGUAACGGCUUACCAAGGCGACGAUACGUAGCCGACCUGAGAGGGUGAUCGGCCACACUGGAACUGAGACACGGUCCAGACUCCUACGGGAGGCAGCAGUAGGGAAUCUUCCGCAAUGGGCGAAAGCCUGACGGAGCAACGCCGCGUGAGUGAUGAAGGUCUUCGGAUCGUAAAACUCUGUUAUUAGGGAAGAACAUACGUGUAAGUAACUAUACACGUCUUGACGGUACCUAAUCAGAAAGCCAUGGCUAACUACGUGCCAGCAGCCGCGGUAAUACGUAGGUGGCAAGCGUUAUCCGGAAUUAUUGGGCGUAAAGCGCGCGUAGGCGGUUUUUUAAGUCUGAUGUGAAAGCCCACGGCUCAACCGUGGAGGGUCAUUGGAAACUGGAAAACUUGAGUGCAGAAGAGGAAAGUGGAAUUCCAUGUGUAGCGGUGAAAUGCGCAGAGAUAUGGAGGAACACCAGUGGCGAAGGCGACUUUCUGGUCUGUAACUGACGCUGAUGUGCGAAAGCGUGGGGAUCAAACAGGAU